CAACAAUGGGUCAGCGACGGACAACACAGUGCAGACUGAGGGGUCAGGGCACGCUUCAUGGAAGAGUGCCAGGCGAGGUGUCCGGCGAGGUGUCACAGCCCUGGCAGUAGAGAGUGGUUCGCUCAUGGGUAGCAAGAAGAAUUUACCAACAACAGCAUAGGCUUGAAAUGGAAUAUCGUAUUAGAUGGAAAGAAACGCUGCAGCCGAGUGCAGAGGGGCAUCUCAGCAAGAGAGGACUAAGUGCACUGCGGUGGAUUGUCCUUCGUGUCUCUCUUCUUAGAGGCAGACUCACUUGGCCUGAGCUUGUCCUUGUGAAAUGGCCUGAGGUUCCCUGGACACUUGUGCAGCGGCAUGGUCCUUCUUCAUGCCCUUCCUUCCAUAAGUCACUCUCGAGCCAGACAGCGAGCCAGACAGUGGGUUUAAACCUGAGCUGCACCUCAUGCUGGCUGGGUUUCCUUUGUGCUGAACACAUCUGCCUUCCCAGUAGACACUGACCGAGCCUCUGAAGAACAAGUUUUUCCCUUCUUGUGUCCCAGGCUUGCUGAAGGGCGUGGCAUUUAAAUGUCUGUAUUUACUUGAAUCGCACAUUAUUGAAUCGGAUAAAACUGAAAGAUUUUCAGGAGAAGACAAUGUCUAACUAUUGACAGACAAACUUGUACGUCUACUUGCAACUACCCACACCUGGGAGCUCGUUAAGAGCACCAAACCUUGGGUUCCAUCCCAAAACUACUGGAUCAAAAUCUGCAUAUUUAACAAGAUCUCCAGGUAAUUCAAGUGAAUAUUAAAGCUUGAGAAGCACUUAUUAUGCUCAGUGUUCUGCAUCUCCAGACCGGGGAAGAAAUACGUUCUAGUUCCCCUGGUAGAGCCACUGCCUGUCUCAAUGUUACAAGGGUAGGAGACAGAAAGAAGGGAUGGGCAGUGUGGGGAAAAGAUUAAGAGCAACUUGGAGACCUGGUUUUGGGUCUCAGAUAGGUGUGGAAUUGAGCUCAAUUUCUGUUACUUAUUAGUUUUGAAUAUUGGGCCUGUGAGCUUAACAUUCCUGUUCUGUAUAGUGGGGAUAGUCAUAGCAUCUAACUCAAUGUGGUGCCAUGAGGGUUCAAUAAUACGACACAUACAUCAGAAUCUUGAAGAAUCCUGUGUGAAUAAUAUACCUUCCAGGGCCUGACUCUAGAACUUCCAAUCAGAAUCUUUGAGAUGGUCCAGAAACGCACGUUUUUAAUGAGUUCUCCUCCAUGUAAAGUUCACAUCAGUGCUGAAGAGAUUCUGCAGCCAUAAAGGUGGAUGUUUCCAUGAGUGUUUGGGACACCAACUCAUCCUCAUUAGACAUUAGAUCCAUGCUGGGAAUCCUCAGGUCAGCAAUUUGAACCAGCCCCAGAUCCACCGAAGCUGCAGUCGGAAGAACAAGACACAGAGAAGGAGUGGCAAGAACAAGAAAGCUUCCGAGAGUGCAAGCGUUUUUUUUUUCUUUAUCGGAUUCGACGCUCUGGAGAAAAUUAAACAGGAUUGCACUUUCUAUCGAAUAAAGUACACUCAUUCUUCAGAAUCAUAGAUUGUGAAUCUAACAAUCUUGCUGAGAAUGGAUACUCUGACUUCCAGAGACUUGAUGACUUUGUUUCCUCUCUUCUCCCGUAAUUUUACGUGUGAUAAGUGGAUGUUGGCAGCUUCUCCAAAUAAGGCAUGAAUCAAGAAUGUACUCUCAACGUGAAAUAGCAAGCCAAAGAUUGAUUAUAUCUACUUAAGUCUAUGAUAAAAAUGGACACCAGCUUGCCAAAUUAUUUCAGCUGCCAAGAACACCAACCACCAAAGUAUCAGGACAGAUGGAUUUCACCAAAGCCUUGAUAUAAUCUGAGGAAAAGAAACUCAGGGAAAAUGUGCUGAUCCAUCAUUUAAGGGGCAAAGGUAUCCUCCUGUACUGGUGUUUGUUGGUAAAUGUUGAAACCAAUUAUGUGUUAAUAAUCAUGUUUUAGUUUCUCUUUUAAGUUUCAUUUUCUAUGUACCACAUUGAAUAAUACUCAGAUGAAGUUAGAUUAUAAUUUCUUUUCAGCUCAAGAAAAGUAAGCAAAUGUAUAGUCAGGGCUAUUUUAACUGGAAAAAAAAAACCUACUACUGACAGUGUCUUACAAGAAAGAUGUUUAAUUUUUUAUGUUAUAAAAAAUGUGGAGGCACAUGUUUUAUGUAUGUCAGCAGUCAAAUGGUGACAGGACCUUGGAUAAACAUCUGGGUUCUCUAGGAUCCCACCUAAUGUUUGCAAGAAGAUUGUAAGUAUAUUCUCCUAUAGCAGCAUCUAAAGAAGAGAAGAUGGAGCUAAUUCUCAUAUCAGUAUUUUCUUAAAUGAAUAAUCUUAACCCAAAACACUGCUAGAUAAAUUCAUUUUGCUCCUCAUUGGCUGGAUUGGGUCAUAUGGUCACCUAUAGCUACAGAGAGGAUGAGAGAGUGAGUACCUGAAACAGUGAUUGGAAUAAACCUAACCAUGAUCUACUGCUAGAGAGGUGGCACUUAGACAGAGUGAUGAUGCCUAAACUUCUAGAAGUAGAGUUAUCUGGCUCCUCUAAGACCUAGACUAACUGUAGGUCAUUGAUAAGCCAAACAUCUGAUUAAGAAUCACAUUGGAAGACUUCUCAUCAUUUUUGUCUUUGUAAAUAAAGGACCCCUAUCUAACUUUA
rnacentral:lncRNA from 1 species